rnacentral:lncRNA from 1 species
GGGAGAUAUAAAAACAAGGGAGAUAUAAACAGGGGAGAUAUAAACAGGGGAGAUAUAAACAAGGGAGAUAUAUGGAGAAAGAAGAAACAGGACUGAAUAAAUGUGUGCAGAAGGAUCCUGUAGCAGCGUUGUUCUUCCUGGCCAGUUGAGCGCGCGCAACAAGUGGUGCCGAAACCCGGGAAAAGAAACAUCUUCAGGCAUGAGCGAAGACCCCCUGUUACAGGGAGGAUUCAGAACUGCAUCACGGGGAAGGAGUGGUUAAUAAAGGUUCUCGUAAAACAGACUGUUGAGAAGGAUCCGGCGUGGAUUCAGAACUCUUCAGCUGGGGAACGGUACUGAUGAAGAGAAAGAAGAGAGAUGAAGACUGAAUAAACUGUUGUUAGAAGGACUGGUGGUCGUGUCGUUCUUGCUGGUCGAGAGCGGGCGCGACAAUUGGUGGCCCAUACGGGGAACCGACUCCCCCACUGAGUUCAGAACUUUCAGCAGUCAGUGGUUGCAGGCAGGGACCAGACGGAACCUCUUUGGGUGCCGGAGAGAUUGGUGAGACGCUGCAAGAAUGAGGCUCCUGAUCCAGUUGCCCCUGUGGAUGUGGUGGAUGAUCCCACAAGCACAAAGGAUGGAGCCGAGAUGAGAGAUCCUUUCGGUAUUCCAGAAGCCGAUACCAGCUCGACAUGACAUUCAAAUUUUUCCAC